UCUUCUCCUAACUUCUUCUCAAAGUAUAUUUUAAGCCGGACUAAAAAAUUCCAGUCAAUGCCUUAGACAUGGGAAAAAAAUAACAUGGAAACCUUCAUGGGCUGAGACCAAAAAAUCACAGGAUCAUGGAGUGUGCUGAGUUGGAAGGGGCCCACAAGGAUUAUUGAGUCCGACUCCUGGCCCUGCCUAGCACCAUCCCCAAGAAUCACACCAUGGGACUGAGAGAACUUUGUAAACACUUCUUGAACUCUGUCAGGGUUGGUGCUGUGACCAACUUUCCUGGAGAGCCUGUUCCAGUGCCCAAACACACUCUGGGUAAGGAAUCUUUUUCUGAAAUCCAGGUUAAACCUCCCCUGACACAAACUCAGGCCAUUGCCUCACAUCCUGUCAUUGGUGAUCACAGAGAAGAGAACAGUGUCUGCCCGCCCCUCCAAUUCCCCUCACGAGGAGGUUGCAGACUCCUCCAGGCUCAACACAACAAGUGACCUCAGCCACAGCCACUCUGCAAACAGAUUCUCUUCAAGGUUCUUUAACAUCCUCAUUGCCCUCCUUUGGACGCUCCCUAGGAGCUUAAUACCUUUCUUAUAUUCUGGCACCCAAAAGUGCUCCCAGCACUCCAGCUGAGGCUGCCCCAGAGCAGAUCAGAGCAGGACAAUCCACUCCCUUGCCCAGCUGGUGAUGCUGUGCCUGAUUCCCCCUGGACAUGGUUGGCCCUCCUGGCUGCCAGGGCACUGCUGGUUCAUGUUCAACUUGCCAUCGACCAGGAUCCCCAGGUCCCUUUCGAUGGCACUGCUUUCCAGCCUCUCAUUGCCCAGUCUGUCUGUACAUCCAGGAUUGUCCCACAUCAGGUGCAGAAUCCUGCACUUAUUCUUGUUAAACUUCAUAGGGCUAUCAAUUGCCCAGCCCUCUGAUUUGUCAUGAUCUCUCUGCAGGGAGUCAACAGCUCCUCCCAGUUUUGUAUCAUCUGCGAACUUGCCCAGAAUCCCUUGAGUUCUGCAUCCAAAUAAUUUAUGAAUAUGUUGGAGAGCACAGGGCUGAGGAUGGAGCCCCACUAGUGGAAUCCCACUAUUGUCAGGUUGCCAGCAGAUGUCACCCCAUUCCUUAUAACCCUUUGUUUCCGAUCUGUAAGCCAGAUGUUCACCCAUCACAUGACGUGUUUAUCCAGCUGUGUGCCGGCCAUCGUGUCCAGAAAGAUCCUGUGAGAGAUGGUGUCAAAAGCUGCCCCACCAGGCUCUGUGCCAGGCCGCAGGGCCAUCCCUGCCGGGCCUCUCCUGCCCCGUCCCUGCUCCCGCUGUCCCCUCGGGGCUCGCAGCGCUGUUUCUCGCUCGCUUCCCCUGGCUCAGCCCUGGCUGCCGGGCAGCGUUUUGCCCUCCCUUGGCCAGGCUUUCCCCGGGGCUGAGGGGCUCAGCCGUGCCCUGCGCUGGGGCCGGCCCGGGCAGCGCCGGCACAGCCCCGGCCCUGCCGCCACCAACGGGGCACCUCGGCCCAAUGCACACAACUUUCAUCUAUUUAUGAAGUAGGAGAAUAUAAAGGUGUUACACGACCAUAUUUGCUUUCAACUAUGUACUCUGCAAUUUAUUUUUGUUCACUUUACCUCGAGCAGCAAUAACAUCAUAGAUACAUAGACAUGAGCUGAGUGUGAAACACUUUGGCCAAGAGCCUGGCUGCAUAAGGCUUUAGGUGUACAGUACCAUUAGAAGACAGACCUUCAGGUUUGUUAUGCAAGUCCAAGAAUUUUUGUUGAUUCAAAGGCUAAAUUACUGCACAUUGUGCAGUAAAAUAUUGCAGUAAUUGUUUAAUUACUGAAUUACUGCACACAGUAAUGUGCAGCCUAGACAUGCUUCUAGACCAUCUUUUAGAAUAUAUUUCAUACACCCACACAUACACCCACACACAGCUGCACAUACACCCCAAUGAUGGGCUGUGAAACACAUGAAGAGGGUAAGACUGAAGCUGCUUCAUGGCAGGAAAACAGACAUGAUACUUCCCCAGUUUUGUUACCUCUUGUUUUCAUUGGGAUAAAAGCAUUUCCAGUCAAAUGAUUUAUUUUAUUAGAGAAGUAUCCUGUAUGGCCAGUCUCAGACAAUUUCUCUCAUAAUAGUUCUGGAAUCUCUAAAGAAAAGUAAAAGAUAGUGUUGUAGCCAGUGCAUUGAGUAACAGAACACUCUUGCCAAUGCAGGUGUUAUUGAAGUAAUCAAUAAUUAAAUGACGAUAAAACCACUGAUUCCUAAACCAGAAAAACAUAAAAGCUGUAACAUUGUUAAAAGUUGGGUGGGUGGGUGGGUGUGAGGUGACCUAACGAAACCAUUGAAAUAGAAUUAACAUGAAUUAAUUAUUAAAAAAUAAUAAUUAAAAAAAAUUUAAAAAAUUCUAAAAAUACAGGCUUUCCCAAAGACUUAUAGAGUGGUAAAGGAGAGUGGAAGAGUAGCACCUGCACAUACCAAGCAAUAAGUGCAAGGGGACACAGCUGGAGCCUGAGAACGCAUCAGUAUGGACACAUCUAUGCCAAACGGCCAGGAGGAGACACUUGUGGCUCUGACUGGGCUUCCCAGCAAGCAGUCUGUGAGUGCUCUGAUGCAGGGGUAGUUGAAGCGCAAACUGCAGGCAGGGAUUACUAAAAUAAUUUGAAUCCUAUUUAAGAGGAAAUAGAAACCACAUAAAUUGCAGUUGUUUCCCACUAUCUCUGAGUUUAAAUCUAUUCCUUGUGUGAUUCAUCAGACCCAAUUAAGCAGAUUUAAGGGCUUCUCAAUCAAAUACAAAAGACUUUCCAAGUACCUCAAGUAUAUUUUUUAGUGUAAAACAAUUUCACGUCAAUCCCACUGGCAAUAAAACUAGCAGGGGUGUUAUUAAUUUUAAUCCCUAUAAAUUAACAUUUUCAUAUUGAAAUACAUGUUCUAAUAAAUUCCUCGUUAGUAAUUCCACAGAUGACUAUAACAUUACUUUUAUUCUUCCCUUAUUUUAUUUAGCCAUGUAUGUUUAAGUUUUACCUGCCGGAGUUUCAAUUUCUCAUAUAGGUACUGAUCUCAGCUAAGGAGCCAUUUAAAGAAAUGUAGAUUUGUCCUGUUGUUCUUGAACUCUUGGUAUUUGUUACCUUCCUAAGAGAUUUUUAUUAUUCUUUCUUCCAGCUGCAAGCUGUUUGAAAUUAAACAAUAUAAAAGCUUGUCUGACUCUCAGCAAUACCUUUAUUCCCACGGCGAAGCCUGAUCUUUUAAAGCCUCAGAAAUUAAAAAAAACCCCAUAUUGUUUUCAGUUCAAUUUUCACUGGACAGCCGCACAGAAUGGCUGGACUGGGUAAGCUUUAAAAGGGGAAGGUUAGGGUGAUAUCAUGUGCCUUCCGACACGGGAACAUCUGCUCUACCUGCGAGUGAUUCUCUCAAUGUGAGAAGCACACAGUGAACACGGUAAAGAUCCUGUCUGCAAUGGUGCACUGUCCCCUGAGCUCCUUCUGUGUAUUGCACACAGGCUUCCCUUUUAUGCUCGUAAGAAAGCUUGCUGGUUUACAGCAGCACUGCCAGUGCUGCUGGAGUCAGAGUCCCCUACCAUUUCUGCCCUGAGGUGAAUAUAGAGCGCAGAGGCAGCUGGAUGCUCUCUUUUAUUUAUCAGAUCUUCAAGACUACUCAUUGAAGUACCAUUCUUGAUCCACGCAGAGGCAGUAGGUGCAGUCACCAAGGCCUGCUAAUUCUGUCAACACAUGCUGGCUUCUUCCUGGCUGUGCCUCUUUGUUUAUCAAAUAAUCAUUUUCAGUAAUAAGGGAGCAGAGUGUAAACAUGCUCUUCACUAAUUUGCUAUAUUUGAGCAUCUGAUUCUUUAGUGUUGCGAACAGGAAGCACUGAUGAGCUUUGUGACUGCACAGUUUGGUUCCAAUUAAAUUUUUAAUGAAACAAAAGUCAAGACCAACUGUGAGUUUUGACAGAAUUUUGAUUUCAGUGGUGCCCUCUUAUGUCUCUAAUUUAGCCAGGUUUACCCUACUGAAUAUAAAUAUUGAUAGUUGACAGUCAGAAGAGACAAAACAGGGCAUGGAGUGUGCCAGGCAGUUUCCUUUUCUGAGUUGUCACUUUAUUUUAUUUUUUUAUUAUUUUUAGGAUCUGUUGACAGAUUGGCAAUGAAGCCUAUCUUGAAUUUUCAAGCUCAUUCAAAUCUUCUUCCAGAGUGGGUGUCCCAGGGUGAUUCUAAGGCAAAGGAAGCAAAGUGUGUGCUUGCACCAUUGAGCACACUGUGUUAAGCUGAUAGAAAAUGUUUGAAGCUAUUUAACUUCUCUGUCGGAGCCCACAAAACUCUGCUGCUUCCUGCCACUAAUAAAUGCCGUGGAGGCUGGUUGCUCUCAAAACUCCCAGUAAGACCCACUGGUGUUGUUUUUACAGGAGCACAGCAGAAGAGAGAAAAGCUAAUUUAAGAAACAUUUGCAACAGCGAAACAGUGCUCAAAGCCGUGGUAUUAAUGACAGUAGUCAGUAGCAGCAGCUGGCUGCCUGAAUUUAAAUGGCAAUCUACUUGUCAGUAGCAGCUUAAAAACAAUGCAGAUAGUGGACUGCACUGUCUCUUGUGUAAACCUACCCAACAGGUUGCAUGAUUUGAUCUGACCCUUGGAUACUGAGCUCUGUAACCAAGCAGGUUAGACAAAAGAAAAAUAAAUUGCUUUAUCUCUGA